rnacentral:tRNA from 1 species
GUCCCGAUGGCUCAGUCGGUAGAGUCUUUGUUGAGAUAAUGGAAGUGAAUUAGGAGGAUGGAAGAAGGUUGAUUAAAGGUUGAUGGAUCGAAACCAGCUCGGGACU